CUCGCGGAGCGCUGUGGGCGGGGCCACCCUCGGCAGUUUGGGGCUCACGGGGCCGCGCGGGCCAGGUACUUCUCGGGGUCUGGGAGAGGUGGCGCGGACUUGGGAGCCCCUAGAGCUGUGAGAAUAGGUGGAUGACUGUGGACACCCGAGCGCUCAUGAGGAGAGUGAGCCCCUUUCCAUUGGCGAGACCCAGACCAGGGUGAAGAAAUCAUAGAAUCUCAAAGAAGUGAAACACAUAAUGAUAUUAAGACUAACUUCAAAAAUUAAAAAAAAUUUGUUUCUCUCAGGAAUAGACAUGAAGACCAUAUUCUAAGUUUAUACGGAGACCAUGUUCUAAGUUUAUUCCAGAGGAUGGGAAAGAGAUCAUCAGCUAGUAGCAAUCUACCCUGCAGAAAGAAGCUACUCAUGAUAAACACUAGGACUUGUGACAGACACACUAUCCAGUGACUCCAGGGAGCCACACAUCUUUGCAUAAUCCCCUUUUGAGUACACAUAGGAAUCUGGGACUUGCUCCUAACCAAUAAAAUGUGGAUGUCUGUCUUUGGCUAAGGGAAGAGAUCCCCCUGUGUCCAUUGUUUCAGGCUAGUGACAGAAACUCCUACUGAUUUUGAGAAAGUCAAGUAGCCAUGUUGUGGAAGGGUAUGUGAGAGGGCCAUGACAAUCACCUAUGUGUGGCCUCUCCCUGCCAGCUGUAAGAAGCUGGGGUCUUCAGCUGUGCAGCUAAAGAAAAGUGAAUUUUCCAAAAACCCUUAUCAGUUUGGAAAUGGAAUUUUCCCUAGUUGACUCUUCAGAUGAGAACACAGCCUGGCUGCCACCAACAUUGCAGCCUGGGAAGACCCUGAUUGUAGGACACAGAAAAAGCUGUACCCAGAUUCCUGACCAUAGAAACUGGCAGAUACUGAGUUUCAUUGUUCCAAGUCACUAAAUUUGUGAUAAUUCAUUACAACAAUAAGAUAACUAAUACAAGAAUUGUCCCCUUUUCCUCCAAUGACAGCUUCCAAAGUAUUGAUGUUUUCUCUCCUGUUGUCUUUAUGUUUUAAUUUUUUAAUCUUUGAGUUUUUAAAUACACUUUAGA